UUUGGUCCUAAUUUUAAAAUCUGUUCUUUCUUAACUUACACAUGCAAGUUUCCCCACCCCCGNGAGUACGCCUCUACCCCCACCCGGGUUAACAAGGUCGGAAUUAGGCACUAUGAUUANCCCAAAACACCUAGCAAUAGCCACACCCAUAAGGGUUACAGCAGUGAUCAACAUUANUAAUAAGUGUCAACUAGAUCUAGCUAAAGAAAACAGAGCCGGCAAAUACGGUG
rnacentral:rRNA from 1 species